AGAGUUUGAUCCUGGCUCAGGAUGAACGCUGGCGGCGUGCUUAACACAUGCAAGUCGAACGGACAUGUCUUUCGGGAUAUGUUAGUGGCAGACGGGUGCGUAACACGUGGGUGACCUGCCCCGGAGUGGGGAAUAACUAUCCUAACGGAUAGCUAAUACCGCAUAUGCUCGGUGGUUCGUUCCGCUGAGUAAAGUCGCAAGACGCUUUGGGAUGGGCCUGCGGCGGAUUAGGUAGUUGGUGGGGUAA
rnacentral:rRNA from 1 species